ensembl:snRNA U6 U6 spliceosomal RNA
GUAUUCUGCUUGCUUUAGGACACAAAUGCCCAAAUUGGAACAAUACAGAGAUUAGCAUGUCCCCUGUGCAAAGAUAACAUGCAAAUUCAUGAAGCAUUCUAAGAAGGA